rnacentral:rRNA from 1 species
AGUAACGCGUAUCCAACCUGCCCCACCACUUGGGGAUAACCUUGCGGAAAGUAAGACUAAUACCCAAUGAUAUCUCUAGAAGACAUCUGAAAGAGAUUAAAGAUUUAUCGGUGAUGGAUGGGGAUGCGUCUGAUUAGCUUGUUGGCGGGGUAACGGCCCACCAAGGCAACGAUCAGUAGGGGUUCUGAGAGGAAGGUCCCCCACAUUGGAACUGAGACACGGUCCAAACUCCUACGGGAGGCAGCAGUGAGGAAUAUUGAUCAAUGGACGAGAGUCUGAACCAGCCAAGUAGCGUGCAGGAUGACGGCCCUAUGGGUUGUAAACUGCUUUUAUAAGGGAAUAAAGUGAGUCUCGUGAGACUUUUUGCAUGUACCUUAUGAAUAAGGACCGGCUAAUUCCGUGCCAGCAGCCGCGGUAAUACGGAAGGUCCGGGCGCUAUCCGGAUUUAUUGGGUUUAAAGGGAGCGUAGGCCGGAGAUUAAGCGUGUUGUGAAAUGUAGACGCUCAACGUCUGCACUGCAGCGCGAACUGGUUUCCUUGAGUACGCACAAAGUGGGCGGAAUUCGUGGUGUAGCGGUGAAAUGCUUAGAUAUCACGAAGAACUCCGAUUGCGAAGGCAGCUCACUGGAGCGCAACUGACGCUGAAGCUCGAAAGUGCGGGUAUCGGGACAGGAUUAGAUACCCUGGUAGUCCGCACGGUAAACGAUGGAUGCCCGCUGUUGGUCUGAAUAGGUCAGCGGCCGAGCGAAAGCAUUAAGCAUCCCACCUGGGGAGUACGCCGGCAACGGUGAAACUGAAAUGAAUUGAC